AACGAACGCUGGCGGCAUGCCUAACACAUGCAAGUCGAACGAACCCUCCGUGAUUGCUGGCGCAUGCGUGCGUCACGCGUCGGAAUCUUCCCUUUUCUUUCGGAUAACUCUGUUACACUUGUGCUAACGUCGGAUGAUUUCUUCUGACCAAGGAUAUAUCGGCCAGGGGUGAGCACGCGUUGGAUUAGGUUUUAGGUGGGGUAAAGGCCUACUGAGCCGGCGAUCCUUUGCUGGAAUGAGAGGAUGCUCAGCAACACUGCGAGUGAGACACGGCCCGGACUCCUACGGAAGGCAGCAAGGGUGAAUAUGGGACAAUGGGCGCAAGACUGAUCCAGCAAGGCCGCGAGAGUGAUGAAGGCGGUAGGAACGUAAAGCUCUUUUACCAGGGAUGAUAAGAACAGAACCUGGAGAAUAGGCUCCGGUUACUUCGUU
rnacentral:rRNA from 1 species